rnacentral:rRNA from 2 species
UAAGCGGAGGAAAAGAAACUAACAAGGAUUCCCCUAGUAACGGCGAGUGAAGCGGGAAGAGCUCAAAUUUGUAAUCUGGCACCUUCGGUGUCCGAGUUGUAAUCUCGAGAAGUGUUUUCCGCGCCGGACCGCAUACAAGUCUGUUGGAAUACAGCGUCAUAGUGGUGAGAACCCCGUAACUGAUGCGGAUGCCCGGUGCUUUGUGAUACACUUUCGAAGAGUCGAGUUGUUUGGGAAUGCAGCUCAAAUUGGGUGGUAAAUUCCAUCUAAAGCUAAAUAUUGGCGAGAGACCGAUAGCGAACAAGUACCGUGAGGGAAAGAUGAAAAGCACUUUGGAAAGAGAGUUAACAGUACGUGAAAUUGUUGGAAGGGAAACGCUUGAAGUCAGACUUGCUAUUUGGAGUUCAGCCGCAAGGUGUAUUCUUCAAUUUGCAGGCCAGCAUCAGUUUUCGGGGGUGGAAAAGGGUAUUGAGAAGGUAGCAGUUUCGGCUGUGUUAUAGCUCUUUACUGGAUUCAUCCUUGGGGACUGAGGAACGCAGCGCGCUUUUUGCAAGGCUCUCGGGCUUUUCGCGCUUAGGAUGCUGGUGGAAUGGCUUUAAACGACCCGUCUUGAAACACG